ensembl:lncRNA
AUCUUUAUCUGGAGAUCACUCCCCUUGGAGCCCUUCUGCUAGCCUAUGACACAGCUUUUCUCCUGACAUUAGGAAUGCAUGAGUCAGCUGAUGACCAUUUCAGCAGAUUUCUGCAGAAAGGCUGUUCACUGUUGGAAACUGUCACAAUGUUAGUGGGUUCAUUUCAGUGAAAUUUCGUGAACAAAUGAGUGCUUUACUGGGACUGUCAAUAAGAAGACGUGAAAGAUGAAAAAUCAAAGGGUUGUAGAGGUGGGAGAGCAGUAGAAAAAAGAGAAGAAACAAAAGAGUUGAGUGAAAGUCUUGUUUCAAGUUCAGAAGUUUUUCACAGAUGAAAUCUUUUUUUGCCUGUGGUUUUUAUUCUACUCCAUAUUUAAAAUUAAUUUUGAUGCUGUUUUCAAAGAAACCUAAGGGCCCUGGUCUCUAGGAAUUGCCUCAGAAUAUUGAAAUGGUGCUUUCAAUUAUCCCUCCUUGACUUUACCAAGUAGAUAUUUGUGGGCACGCAAACACUUGCACACCAACAACUGGAACAAAGAUCUAGACUUCCUCACUUGAACUACUCAGGGGAAAGUCAUUUUCAGAAUGCCAGUAGUGACUUGAAUUGUACUGUUAGAAUAAUUUCUUUUCUUACUGGUCAAUAAAAGUUACAUCAAUAUACUGCUAGUCUUUCAUGCAUAUGCACUUGAGCUUAGAAUGAGGACUACUGCAUGUACUGCUGGUCUGACAAAAUAACAUGAUUUCCUUGGAUUGAAAGGUGAAAUUGGUAGUAUAGUAUGCAGUCCUAUUAGUGAAAUAAAAUAGCCUAUUGCUUCAAGGCUUUAUACUUUAUCACCAUGGUUGGUAGAGCGUGACUUUACAGGUCUUUUCCAGCUGAAUUUUGCAUCCUCUCAUUAGGACACAACCAGAAGUACAACUGUCUUCCGACUUGUUGGUAUCACCACUACAUCUCUGUAAGGAAAAUAUCCACUGCAUUGCUACUACUUGUAUAGAUACUGUAUGUAUCUAUUUAUAAUGCAACUCAUGCAAUUUGAAUUCUACCUACUGAUAUUACUAUGUUCUUAGUACUGUGCAACUUGUCUUGUUCAGAUUUAAUCUUGAUAGUGUAAUGAUAUGGCAGCAACUGUGUUCAUGAAGAAAAAAAUCAAGCCCUUGGAUGUGUGACUCCUCUCUGCAGGUGUUGUAAUCAUUAGUUUUAUUCUCCCUUUAAGAACUGUUUUUAGUAACAUUAAAACUACCAAAAAAAAAAACAAAAAAAAAACCACCACCCAAAACUCCUGAGGCAUUAGCUGGCUCAGAAAGAUGGUAAUACCGUAUGGUAGUUUAUUGCAAAGGGUCAGCAGGUCAUGUCUACUUCAGCUCAUUGUCUAAACAUAUUAAAGAAAAUGCAUUGUAUCCUCUCUGCCAGUUAACUCAUAACAUAUGCAUCGAGCUCACCAUUGCUGCUAAUUGUCUCUCUCUGUUGUCAAACUCAGUAGAAGGGCCAGUAGGUGAGGGAAACUAUGAAAAAUAAAUUACUCUCCCUUCUUAGUAGCAAUCCCAGUGAAGGAUAUUAGCAAGGAAGUAGGUGUAUGAAAGAAGGUGAAAGUGUGCAUCCUUAUUGCCUUUACAUCAACAUCCAGCAUAGUCUCCUGAGUUGUAAGACUAAUUUUUGUAUAGGUGCACUAUGUUAAAUAUAUUUACAUUUCUUUUUCUGUGGAAGGUAAUUAUGUAUAAAAGCCUGAAGACUGCUGUGUUUGAUACAAGCUCUUUUAGUUUAUUAUAAAUUUAAAAACAAGAAGGGAGGGAAAAACCUUGUGUUGAUGGAUUUUUCUUGGCAGAAUGUAGUUAUGUUAUACAUGUAUAUAUACAUAAAUACUUGUAGG